AGAAUCUUUCGCAAUGCCCGAAAGGGUGACGAAGCGACGCCGCGUGCGGGAAGAAGGCCUUCGGGUUGUAAACCACUGUCGGGAGUUAAGAAGUGUAAGGGUGUUAAGAGCAUCCUUACUUGACGUUAGCUCCGGAGGAAGCCACGGCUAACUCUGUGCCAGCAGCCGCGGUAAUACAGAGGUGGCAAGCGUUGUUCGGAAUUAUUGGGCGUAAAGAGCACGUAGGCGGCCCUGCAAGUCAGCUGUGAAAUCCUUCUGCUCAACGGAAGAACGGCAGUUGAUACUACAGGGCUAGAGUGCGGGAGGGGAGAGUGGAACUUCUGGUGGAGCGGUGAAAUGCGUAGAUAUCAGAAGGAACAUCGGCGGCGAAAGCGACUCUCUGGUCCGUAACUGACGCUGAGGUGCGAAAGCUAGGGGAGCAAACGGGAUUAGAUACCCCGGUAGUCCUAGCCGUAAACGAUGGGCACUCGGUAGAGGGGUUUUGAUUAUCUCUCUGCCUGAGCUAACGCGUUAAGUGCCCCGCCUGGGGAGUACGGCCGCAAGGCUAAAACUCAAAAGAAUUGACGGGGGCUCGCACAAGCGGUGGAGCAUGUGGCUUAAUUCGAUGCAACACGAAGAACCUUACCGGGGCUUGACAUGGUAGAAGUAGGAGCCCGAAAGGGUAACAAACGGUAUCCAGUCCGUCACUAUCACAGGUGUUGCAUGGCUG
rnacentral:rRNA from 1 species